rnacentral:rRNA from 1 species
AACGAACGCUGGCGGCAUGCCUAACACAUGCAAGUCGAACGAGACCUUCGGGUCUAGUGGCGCACGGGUGCGUAACGCGUGGGAACCUGCCCUUAGGUUCGGAAUAACUCCCCGAAAGGGGUGCUAAUACCGGAUAAUGUCUUCGGACCAAAGAUUUAUCGCCUUUGGAUGGGCCCGCGUUGGAUUAGCUAGUUGGUAGGGUAAAAGCCUACCAAGGCGACGAUCCAUAGCUGGUCUGAGAGGAUGAUCAGCCACACUGGGACUGAGACCCGGCCCGGAAUCCUACGGGAGGCAGGAGUGGGGAAUAUUGGACAAUGGGGGAAGGCCUGAUCCAGCAAUGCCGGGUAAGUGAUGAAGGCCUUAGGGUUGUAAAGCUCUUUUACCCGGGAUGAUAAUGACGGUACCGGGAGAAUAAGCUCCGGCUAACUCCGUG